AAUCCGACGUGAAUAAAGCCCGAAAGAGCCAACUAAGCCAUACCUGGAUCUCAUGAAUGCGGCCGAAGCCGUCCUUCCAGAAGAACUCGUAGAGAUUGUAGAGGGUGUUGGGUCCGGGCAUUUCGUGCAGACUCUUCACCCUGCCCAGCUGCGGGGAGGGCUCCAGCAGCUCCCCCGGCCGCGCCGCUUUGUUCUCCGCGCCGCUCCGCACCUCCAGGGACUGACUGCCCGACAGCCCGGGCGCCUGGUGAAACCUGCUGACAAAAAGCGCGUGCUGGAAGGCCACUGAUGACAGAGCAGUUUACUUCAGAGUACCUGCAGUUCAUACAGGUUCUACCCACGGAGAUGUCCCAAAAUGGAUGUAUGCCUCUAAUGAUCUUCAACAGCUAGGUUCAAGUGCAAUCCAUUAGAGACUAUUUGCUCUUUCACCUUGUGCAAUUUGUGCAGUGACUGCUGCACAUGGCUAUCUGGAACAUCAUUUGUCUUUCACGUCACCGUCACCACUGCUGAAACACACCACCCACCACCUCAGUUUGCUAGCAUCUACUGUUUAAGUCUCCGUAAGUGUUCAGCAAGCUUCAGUGAACGUCAAUGGGUGCCAUUUUUUCUGCACGGAGGAAUUCAAUUCCACAUCUUUGCUUCAUAUGCACUUCCAUGCCAGACACCAUUUUGUCGGACUGCCCCCCUGCUACCAUCUGUCACACAACAACAACAUGCAAUGGAAUAUUGGUGAGAAGAUUCAGCCUUUACUGCCAUACUACCAACAUCCACCUCUGACACUGUGGGCCAACAUAAUUAAACAGGAGGCAUUACUUUCAGAUCCACCCUUAUAUAUCCGAAAGUAAUGUAACUAAAGUAACUUACCUUCCUAAAAGCUGUAUUAAACUACUUGUAUCUACCCUUACAGCAACAGAGUUAACAGAAUAAUGCAGGAAAAAUUUUUGCCUGCAAGUAAAACCUUCAUUAAUACAUUUCACAACUGUAAUUCUCAAGUAUCUGACCUAGUCACAAAAUGAAAGAAUUAAAGUUAUAUUCACAGGCCACAGUUUAGUAAUUAGAAGGGACAAAUUACCUUGAAGCUAUAGCCUUGAUCUACAAGAAACCGCUGUCGCUUUGUUGAAUAUGCCAUUUCCUGAGUGUCUUGGGAUACAAGAGAAUAGAAAAAGGCAUUGUAUUCCUCUGCAACCAUGCCUAGGAGACAAAGCCACCAAAGGAUUAGUUCCAUUUGGAUCACUACAACCAAGAAGAAAAAAGGACUAAAUUGUAAAAAUAGGUAUUCAAAGAAGAAUCCUCUCCACAAAAUCAGUUUGUAAAAUGUAUUUUAAAUACAAGCUGCAUCCAGACCUUACAUAAACUGAGUGACAAAGCACACCACAUCGAAAUUCCUACUCUUGUUCAUAAUAACUCGAGGAUAGCUUAAAGGGAAAUGGAAAAGGAAAUUUAGACUAUCCCAGUUAUGCUGGUACCCCGAGAAGAACCUGCUGCUUAACUAUGCAGAACAAAGUAGAAGAAAAAAUUACUUACAUAAUAGUUUGCAAACAAGUGGUAAGAAGUCGAGAACAAAGAUUGUAAUGGAUGUCAAAAAAGUUAAACAGAAAUUACAAUGGAAAUUUAUCAGUGUGAUUUAUCAAUGUAAACGAAAGUUAGCAAUCUUUUUGCAUUAAAAGAAAGAUAAAACGAUAUUUUCUUUAACAACAAAAAAACCAAAGCAACCAAACCAAUCAAACAAACAAACAAAAGCCCACUGACCUUAUGGCUAUUUUACCUACUCUCAAAUACCACUGGGUUUUCUUGCAAAACCCAAGGUCUCACUAACACAAGUUUUGUAUGCAUUUUCAAACAAAACUUCAGCCACAAGAAACAUAAACUGUACAGAAAAUAAACUUUGCUGUACUACACCAAGACAGCACUGUGGAGUGUGCUUUGGUAGGAAGAAAAUUACAGAUAACAGCAGCAACUCUGUAUGGGGACAAUAAAAAGAGACUUCACAUCACAUGAAAACAGGUGGGAGAAAGCAAACCCCAGAUUCUGCUUACAACACUCAUUUUCCCAACAGCCAAAUGCAGAACUGAAGCACUGCAAUUUUAUUCUCCACCUGACAGUUAUCAAUAAUUUCCUCUGAAAUACGACCACUUCCUAGGGAAUACUCUUUCUAUCUAAACUAAGUGCCAACAGGCUGUGAUAUAAACCAAUCUUUAAGCUUCUUACUACCUUAACUUGAGAGAACUCUUGAAGUAGAACCAUUUCACCUUGAGCUACUUUAUAAUUUGUCUCAAGAAGAUAUAAAUGGGAUUAGAGCAGAUUAAACAUCGCCUAUUUAUCAGUUAAUAGAACAGACUUACAUCAGUGUCUUUUAGGAAACAUUCAGUUAAUCAAGUCAACCAGCAAAUUCUGCCUAAGAGCGAUUCACCUUAGUUCAAGACUAAUAGAAACGUCAAAAGAAAACGUGACAGAAGCAUCCCAAUAGCACUCAUAUGUAUUCUUCAAACUGAGACACAGAUGGGAGUGAUCAGUGAGAUUUCAAAUAACCAAUGAAGCAAUUCCUAAAAUCCUGACCCCACAGUAAGUUUAAAUCCUACUCACAUAUCCAUCAUAGAAAAAGGAAACACCAGUACAACUGCAGUUUUUUUCCUAUAUGAUCUCUGCACUCUGAGUCUAGAACAUACCAUAAAAAGCAAAGCUCACUUUCACUGAAGCUACAGUGACACUGUGACUCCACAUAUAUCCCAGGCCAGAGUGACAAAUAGCUUUUCAGCUUACAGUUUACUUAUCCUCUAGAAAUAUACUGGAGGAUGAGGGGAGGAACAGCAAAAACCUGAUGAACUAUUCAACCUGAUAACGAAAACAUGAUUUUGACAGUCUUUGGGUAGGAAGUAAAUGCUACAAGCACUCCAUUUAUGCUUUGCUAUGGAUGGACAGGAUUGCUGCUCCUGUUAGUGCCACAGCUUUCUACAACCUCCACCUGAAGUGUUUGUAAAUCAACUUUAAUAAAACACUAAAACAAGCAUUAGAGGAGAGAGAUACCUCAUAGAAACAAUGCUGGCUUUAUUGUAACAUAGUAUAUACAAAUUCACAAGUUUGGAGGAAAAAAAUAAACAUCACUGGGUGUUCUGGCUCAGCUGAUCUUAAGUUCUUAAAACAGAAAGGGGGAAACAAUGCUAUUCUGGCAUAGUAAAUCAUUGUAACAGGAGAGGAAAGAAGAUGCAAUAAAGUAUACAAGAAAGAAUUCAUUUCUGGCUAAAAAAGAAAUGGAGAAAAGAAAUAAGAGCUGCUGCAAGUGAAAGACUGAAUGGCAUCCGUAUUAGAACAACAACAACAACAACAAAGCCAAAACCCAACACUUCUCUCACACGGAACCUUGAACUACCUUCUUAUUCAUGAUAUUGCAGUUUAUUCAGUCUGUGUUUCAGUAUUCUAAAUAGUUGAGUAAUUAUCUGAAUGCCGUACUGUAUUCCAAAGAGCAGAGCCCAAGAACUACCUCACCUUUUUUGGCUCUCAGUACUCGCCCCAGUCUUUGAGCCUCCUGUCUUCGAGAUCCACCGUGGGAUGAAAUCUGAAUCAGAACAUUGGCUUCAGGUAGAUCAAAGGAUGUGUCACCCACCUACAACACAGAAGCAGUGUCUGAGCAGCAUCUUAUUUCCAUGUACCAAUAACGACUUUGUACAAAGUACACCUUUAUUAGUUGCAAUAAUAAAACGUCAAAUGCCCAAUGUGCAUGUAUAACUUGUUCUUAUAUAAGGCUCACUCUGAAGAUGAGUACAAAAACACACUACCUCCUCACCUUUGAAAUGAAAAUAGUGUUGAUUUUUGGAUUGUGCUUGAAGUUUUGUAGAAUUUGCAUUCUUUCUCCUUGUGCAGUAGGACCAUAUAUAUAAGGUCUGAAAAAAACAAAACACAUGCAAAUUAAACCAAUUCAAAAAUCCUCAUUUUUUAACAGGCACUAAGAUAUCAUGGCAGGGAACUCAUUACACAGUGAUUUAAACGUAUUAAUAGCACUGGUGAAAAAAAGAGCAUGAGCUAUGUGACUCUGGAUGACAGACUUAGGACAGAGUAAAAACUGGCUUAACAAAUUUUGAGUUCUGAGGCCUCAAAAAAUUAAAGGCAAAAUAAUUCCUGUCAUGUGCAUGUUCUUUCCCUGCUAGUACCAAGGGAAUAGAAUGGGGCAAAGGAGGAGCUGGUGCAGCAGCAGCCACCAGGCAAUGCCAAUUUCUCUCCACUGGGGAGCCCACCUGCCCCAUAUGCUUGAGCCAGGCAGUGGAACCCACCCGCUGAGCCAGCACAGCCAGGCAAAUACAGUCUGGGCUACUACUGAGGCACCCACUGGUCUGCUCCCUCCUACAUAGACCCAUAAUUCCUGCCACAUCCAAACUAACAGCUCUCUGUUUAUGCCUAAAGCCAACUUUGAGCAUGCCCAUGGAAAACUACGAUUAGAGAUCCUUCCAGUUAAAAUGUUCUCUUUCAUCUAGCACUGCAAGCCCUCCUUCUCUCUAGCUCUUACAGCUGUAUAAACUGGAGAUCCAUACGCAUCAUGUGGGAAGCAGAAUUGAGUCAAGAACGUGAAAAACAAGCCCCUAAUGUUUCUUCAAAUCAUUCUCCUGCUGUACUUCUAGAGCAUCUUCCAUACUUACAAACCAUUAGGCUACUUUGCGAGCACCCCUUCUAGGCAUGCGCCUUUGUUAAAGGCUCUUGUUGGGCACUGCACUGCACACUGCUAGCAACAUUCCAGAGGCAUCAUUACAGCUAAUCUCUGUCCAGACAGAUUUAAAAAAUGAUGAAAGAGACCACGGGUGUUGGAAUUCAUCCAGAACUACCAGCUCUGCUAUGUGAUGCACAGCAAGCCAAAACAACGCGGCCAUUGGACUAUAGUGAAAAGCGAUCAUUAAUUUUGGAAAGUGUAAAAAGAUUUGUUUGCAGUUUUGCUGAGUACUGUCAAAAUUCCUAGACAUGAAAUCAUGCAGUCAAAAUGCCCCACAGCUUCCAGUAAUCAACACAUUAUUUGAGCUUGUCACAGAAAGCAUGAGGCCAGCUUCUAAGCUUAUUUUCCCCGAGGAACUGCUCUGCUAUAUGCCUGAUCCUUGCAAACAUUCUCCCUAGUCAUCCCUUCCCAAGCCAUUCAAACGCAUCGAGGUUAACCCCUCAGUAAACUCUAUUUGCAGUAAUUUUACAGACAUUUAGGGUAGCUGAUCCUGAAAGAGCCCGAGUGCACAUUUGAAAACAUUCCUGUCAGAGACAGGAGAAGCUGCAGUCCAUUAGAGAAAUAUUUCUGGAAAGAUUUUUAAAGGCUCCCUGAUUUCGCCAAGUGGCUUUCAAUAAUAAUAAUAAUAAAAUAAAUGGGGAAAUACAAAGUCAUUCAUAGAAAACUUGGAUGAAAGCUCCUCUGAGCCAAGUGCUGAACAGAGAUUCUUUUCAAACAGUUCUACAACGGAAUUAAUGUUUCAAUGCCUAUAACAUCUACCCAAAGAGUAGUUUUCUGAACUCCUCUUAACUGAGAAUUGUAGUUAAAGUAUUACAACAAAUGGCUAGAGGUAAUCUUGCAGAUCUCAGUAACAAGUCAAUUUUCCAGAGAGGAGGAAAGCAACAGCAUCACUGCUAGUUCUGAACACUUACUUCCCAAGUCUGAUUGCGUACUCCUUCAGUGCAAACACAUUGUCAGCAAAAACAAUGAUUUUAUCAUUCCGUCGCUCAUGAAACUUAAUGAGGAACUGGCAAGCUCUAAACUUGUUUGGGUUCAUGGUGUACAGCAGUAUCCGUUUCUUUGUUUUGAUUGCUACGUAUUCUCGAUAAAAUUCGGGUGACAUUGGGCACCAAACCUAAAAUUGGAGAAUAUGCACAAAGUAAAUCCCAGUUAUCUAUUUAAUUCCAGUGGGAAUUUAAAUGAUAUUAGGGGACAAUAAUGCAUUGUAGCUUUCUACACAGCAGAGGCCACAAGUCCUAACACAGUUAAUUUCUCUACUAAAAUGAAGUAUUGACUGGUCUUGUCUCUAGAACCACUAAUUCUUUUUACCUCAUUAAUACCAUCAUCUUCCACUGGGGCAGUGAGAUACACGACAGAAACAGGCAGUGGGAUUGGAACAGGACAGGAAAAUGCUUGUUUCAAAUCUGAUAGUUCCACUGAAUGCUUCUACAUUUUACAAAGAAUGAAAGGAAUUAACUGUCUGCAAUAUUUCUGUCACUGUGGUCAAGGCCUUUGCCCUAAAAAUUCAUUUUCAUCCAUGUUCUGAAAAGCCAGAUAUAUUCAGUCCUCACUACAGAACACACUGACCAAUCCUUUCCUCAUAUAUCCACAAUGGAAUCAAAUUUAUUUUAAGAUAUGUUGAGUUUACAUCUUUCAAAACAGAAUUUAUUAGAACUUUUCAAUGGCUUUACCUGCACAGUAUCGUGCAUUGUGCAUGAAUUGAUAUAUAUAUUGAUAUAUAUAUCACAGUACUGUACAAGAUCCAGUCACUGUGAUAAUUUUUCUUUACAGUAGAGAUUGAAAAUAGAAGAAAUUAUGAAGUUAAUGCAAAUGCAGCAACACUACAGCACAACAUGACAACAUGCAUAAUGUCAUCUAAACGACGUACAUUUGUUCUGCUGUAUGUGGCUUCUUCUACCAUAUUCAUCACACAGUACAAAUUUAACAAAUAAUAUUUAAAAAGGCCUCUUUCAUAAUUACUGUUCAGCUACGGAAGUUAACAAAAAAAUCUACUCACAUCCGUGACAAUCUGUAUGAGUUUAUUUAACAACCCAAUUUGCUCUGUGCUCUUAAAAACCAUCACUAUCACAGACAACGGAUUAGGCCAGACCUUCAGCCUGACCCACAAAGGCUAUUUCCAACAUUCUAGCAUGCCUGGGUGAAAUCUUUCCACUUAUCUGACAUUAGACUUUCAUCUCAUCUAUUUGUUGGAAAGAAGAGAGGUCACACACGGUUAUAAUGGAAAGAAAUAGCAAAAUCUAGUUCCAUGUUUUCUGAUUUCAUCCUGAGGCCUUAGGGCUUGAAAUAAGCAGGUGUCUUAAUCUUUAAGCUUCCUACUAUCCUUCUUUGUUUUAAUAGUUACAAGAAUUUUCCCCAAAAAAGGACCACAGGCUACCAGCUGAAAUCUUCCAAAAGCAGCUUCAAGUAUGCCAUCUGACCAACACUACCAUACAGAACUGAGCUUAAAAUACAAAAUCAAAUCAAUGUGGAUACCUGCUGCAUCAAAGGAGGUCUACAACACUGCAACUGCUGUUGUUUUUUUCCUCAAAUGCUAAUUAGAGAGAACUGAUCAAGCACCACAACCCCCCAGAAAGAGAAACAGUGCUGAAGUCACACUACAGGAUUGCAACGUGUUUGUAUUGACUACUGACAGCCCUUCUCGAGCUACUGAGUGAAAAGCCAUAAGGGUACCUCCUGCUCACAUAGUUGAAUACCUACAGUUCUUUCUUCCAAAAAACAAAACAAAACAGCUGAAAAAAGCUGUAAGCAUGUUAAAUAUACACAAGCAGUACUGAAAAACAGAACAUCACCUCAGCACAUUGGACUUUAGCAAUGUAGCCACUGUUCUGCAGCUCCAUCCAGUUGGCCUCAUAGAGCUUUGGUCCAAUCAGGAAGUUCAGAUCAACAAUUUUAUCAUCUUCUCUGACCAGGGUAGCAGUCAGUCCCAGCUUACAGUGAGCUUGUACAAUGGUGAGCACACGUCUGAACAUUUUUGCUACGAAACACAAGACAUACUUGCUGUUUACUUUCCUGAAUGGAUUUAGAAUACAAGAACUGCAACUUUACACAUUAAAUAAAGAAACAAAUCAUAAACUCCUGAGCACAAAGCAAGCAUGGUCUUAGGAAUUAUCAUCCCAUUUUACAUACACUUCUAACAGUAUUCUGAGUCACAGCAAAACUUCACAUCGAUUUCAGCUUUAGUUUGCACCUUCAAUGUACUCUAAAAAACCCUAUAAACCUUUUGCAUUUGUGUUACUUCCUGUUUCCCCAAAAGUAUAUAACAGGGAGAGGUUACAUGACUUAUCUUAGCCAUGUAGUAUUUCAUAAAAUGAUUGAUAACACAAGUUCUCUUGGCUGACUUUGCCACGUUUAGGACUAAUAUAAGGCAGAAUUAUUUAUCUUCAGUACUCUUUCAAAUGCUGUGAUUGCAUUCUGCAGGCAUAGGAGAAUCUAUACCUUAGUUUUUAUGAAAUAAAGAACAGUGAAAGAACUGUGUCAGCAACAUGCUGCUUUGUUAAUCCAAGUCUACCCUGCAAAUCUAUCAUUUCAGUAGAGACCAAAUUAUAUCCUAAUUAAAACAUGACAGCAACGUAGAACAGCAGACAGAAUCCUGGAUGAUACACAUCACGAGGAUAACUCCACAGACACUUUAAUACCGCUUUACUGCUGUCCAACAGUCUUCAACUACAACAGCUAUUUCUGGACAGUAACUAUUGCAGUUACUCAAAUUUUAUGGAAUAGAAAUAGACAGUAACAGCUCAGCCUGUAGUGCAAUUGCAUUUCAAAACCAGAGAUGGCAGAUUACUGCCUCUCCUGUUCCUAAAGAGAGCGCUACCAUCCACAAACAAAUUUGUCUACAGCAAAAUUAAACACAUUUAAUUCAGGUAUCCUCACGCAGUUUAUCAACCUACCCAAAAGGAGAAGGGCACUCAUAUUCUGUACUACCAUUGUAGAGAACAACAUAACUUUAGAACGGUUUCAAAUAAACAAACAAACAAAAAAUCAAAGGCCAGUUAAACACUGGGGGAAAAAAAAAAGAAGAUAGCAGUUCACCUGUCUGUCUCAAAACCCUAUGCCAUGGUUUACCAACUGCAUUAAAUGUGAGCAAGCUAAUAACCCCACAAGCUUUUACAGAGCAAAGCAACAUUACCAGUACAUACAGCAUGAGGGUCUGCACACCAUUUCCUUACCAGGAAUAGUAUGUACUUCAUCGAGUAUCAUAAGGCCCCACUCUCGACUUUUAAGCCACUCCAUUACUCUCUCUGCUUCCCAGGAUCUUUUAGUCGUGUGUCCCAACAUGGAAUAGGUGCUGAUAGCAAUAGAACAAUCAAUGGGCUUAUCUUUGGCAUCGGAGGUGAACCGACAUAUCUGACUGUCAUCGAUGGUGGACCACAUCUUGAACUGUGCUUUCCACUGUUCUACAGACAC